AUUUUAUAUCCUAUGAAAACACAAAAUAUUUUCAAAAAAAUAAAUAUAUGUGUAUAUGUAUAUAUAUAUAUAUAUAUACCGUCAUAACAACAUCAAGGAUAAGACUCAAAAACAUUAUCGAACACAAAAACCAACACUUCUCGAUAUUUGUUGCUAAAGAAUUUUCCACUCCAUCUUCUUUCUCACUUAUGUAUUAUUCACUGAUUUGUUGGUUACUUUCGCUUGAUCUCCAAAUAUCUAUCUUAUAUAUACAAGUACCGUGCUGACGUAAUAAUUCCUUUUAAGGAAUACAUAUGGAAGGAGAAAUUCAACAAAAUGGUGGGAACAGUUUCAUUAUGACCUAUUCUAAAAUACGUGGAAUUAUGAUUAUAUUGACAUCACAAAUUCUUUUAUUUCAUGAAAGAUUACACCUUUCCAUACCGGAAUAAAUAGGAAGACAAAUCUAUUCGGAUAAUUCAUUUUUCUACCGGUUAUGGACGAUUUUUUUUAUAUCAUACGUAUUACUUUAUAAUACUAUUGUGUUGACAAUUAAGUGAUUACGGAAAGUGUAAAGUCCAUUUAUCGAUAAAAUCCGCAAUCACUUAGUUUCCAACCCAAUAUAACAGAAGACUUAAAGGAAGAGCAGCCAAAAAGAAUAUCGUUCUCUCGAGGAUUAUAACAACAACCAUAACCGUCUGGUACAACCGGACCAUAGCACAUAAAUGACAUCGUUUUAUGAGGCACCUGUUGAUUAAAGAAUUAUAUCAGGACUAUUGUGUACAAUUGUAAAAAUACUUAUUAAGAAAUAAGAACUGUAUUCUUACUUGACUCGAUGUUAUAUUAUAAUAUGUACUUUUAAUAUAUGCAACAUCCUUAUACAAUUCUGGAAGACACAUUGAUUCUGUAGAAGCUAUCAUUUUUAAACCAUACAAGUGCUUAUCGACACCUUGUCCUAAUGUAGCCUGAAGAGAAAAAUAAAUUUUAUAUUUUUAUAUAAAAGACUUUAUUGUCGCAUUGACUACUUUGAAAUAAUUUUUCACUAAUCGUUAUGUUCAUCUAAUACACUUUAACACCUAAUAUACUUGAUAAAGUUUUAUACAUAAGUUAGUAACUUUAGUUCUCUGAAAUGUUAUAAAGGAAAUCUUAAAAACGUAAUAAUAAAUACAUACAAGAAUACAGACCUCGGAUGCACUUUCUU